CUUGUUUAGAGGAAGUAAAAGUCGUAACAAGGUCUCCGUAGGUGAACCUGCGGAGGGAUCAUUACUGAGUUUUUAACUCUCCAAACCAUGUGAACUUACCACUGUUGCCUCGGUGGUCGGUGCUGGAAACAGUGCUGCCACCGGUGGACUACUAAACUCUUGUUAAUUUUUGUCAAAUCUGAAUCAAACUAAGAAAUAAGUUAAAACUUUCAACAACGGAUCUCUUGGUUCUG
rnacentral:misc_RNA from 1 species